ACUCAAAUAGUCAAGUGGUCAAGACACCUUGAAAUCAUAACAUCUUGAAGGAUUAAGGAGGCGGGGGUUCAAUUCCACCUUUGGGUG